rnacentral:rRNA from 1 species
AUUGAACGCUGGCGGCAGGCUUAACACAUGCAAGUCGAACGAGUGGCGGACGGGUGCGUAAUGCUUGGGAAUCUAGCUUAUGGAGGGGGAUAACUACGGGAAACUGUAGCUAAUACCGCGUACCAUAGGAUGAGCCCUAGUGGGAUUAGGUAGUUGGUGGGGUAAAGGCUCACCAAGCCGACGAUCCCUAGCUGGUCUGAGAGGAUGACCAGCCACACUGGGACUGAGACACGGCCCAGACCCCUACGGGAGGCAGCAGUGGGGAAUAUUGCGCAAUGGGGGAAACCUGACGCAGCCAUGCCGCGUGAAUGAAGAAGGCCUUCGGGUUGUAAAGUUCUUUCGGUAGCGAGGCGUUACCUACAGAAGAAGCACCGGCUAACUCCGUGCCAGCCGCCGCGGUAAUAC